GAAGGUGUAGCUCAGCUGGUAGAGCAGCGGACUUUUAAUCCGUUGGUCGUGGGUUCGAUUCCCGCCACCUUCA
rnacentral:tRNA from 1 species